AAAUGAAUAGACGGGGGCCCGCACAAGCAGUGGAGUAUGUGGUUUAAUUCGAAGCAACGCGAAGAACCUUACCAGGGCUUGACAUCCCUUGAAGCUACUAGAGAUAGUAGUGUCCCUCGGGACAAGGAGACAGGUGGUGCAUGGUUGUCGUCAGCUCGUGUCGUGAGAUGUUGGGUUAAGUCCCGCAACGAGCGCAACCCCUAUUGUUAGUUGCCAUCAUUAAGUUGGGCACUCUAGCGAGACUGCCGGUGAUAAAUCGGAGGAAGGUGGGGAUGACGUCAAAUCAUCAUGCCCCUUAUGUCCUGGGCUACACACGUACUACAAUGGCUAUAACAGAGGGCAGCCAGAGCGCAAGCUUGAGCGAAUCCCAAAAAAUAGUCUCAGUUCGGAUUGUGGGCUGCAACUCGCCCACAUGAAGCAGGAAUUGCUAGUAAUGGCAGGUCAUAAUACUGCCGUGAAUACGUUCCCGGGCCUUGUACACACCGCCCGU
rnacentral:rRNA from 1 species